rnacentral:lncRNA from 1 species
GAGGGAGGUUGCAGCAGCCAGCACAGGAUGCUUACUGGAUGUCUUCCACCACACUUAGCUCCAGAAAAAGUAAGAUGAGGCAGCGCUGGAAAAAAAGUUCAAAUUGAUCCACGGUCAAUGGACUCAGGGUUGCGCAUCAAAUUCAAAACACACUUUGGGAUUGCGGAACAACAUCCAGCUUUCCCAAAGGCUGAUGACAAUGGAGGAAAAGGUCUGUGAAGAUUCCGUCAUCAUUUCAACAAGAUUUAAAUUGAUGUGGAGACAAACUGCUUUUUGUUUUAAAUGGUGAAAACAUUUUCCCUGGAGACACAGGUUGAAUAAUAAGGGUUUCUCAGUGGUGCCCGUAAAUGAACAAGUUCUACUCUGGCUGUCAGUGAGCUUAACGGGCACAGGUUGUCAUUCGCAUGUUCUUGGCCUUUAUUCUGUGAAUCUACUCCAUCCCACAACCAACAGAAGGGCCUCCUAAUGCCUCUUCUUUCCCAGGCCAACAGCCUUUAACUCGGGGGCAAGGCUUUCAUCAUUCCUGAGUGCGCUGAGACACCGAGUCGGCUGAGCUCAUUUAGCCCAGUGGAGUACGGAGUCAAUGAAGUCAAAGCCAUUGACUCAGCCUUUAUUCAAUCUCGCUACCCCCAUCCUCCUAUGUGUUAACUAAAUGCAUCCCCAUUGAACAUAUCCCGACUGGCACUGUAAAUCCAUUAGUCACUAGAACAAAAGGGUAGGUUGGAUACGGAUGGAGACAGACUGACUGUCCUGAAAUCCUAUCUCUGGCAUUCUAUAGCUCUGUGAACUUGGGGAGAUUACUUAAUUUCCUUGUCAUAAAAUAAGACUUAAUAUAGCCACUACUUCUGGGAUUUUAUAUGAUUUAAUAAAACUAUCCAUAUAAAGUG